rnacentral:rRNA from 1 species
GACGAACGCUGGCGGCGUGCUUAACACAUGCAAGUCGAACGGGAAGGCCCUGCUUCUGUGGGGUGCUCGAGUGGCGAACGGGUGAGUAACCCGUGAGUAACCUGCCCUCGACUUUGGGAUAACGUCAGGAAACCGGGGCUAAUACCGGAUAGGAGCUCCUGCUGCCUGGUGGGGGUUGGAAAGUUUCGGCGGUUGGGGAUGGACUGGAGGUUUAUGAGCUGGUUGGUGGGGUAGUGGCUUACCAAGGCUGUGACGGGUAGCCGGCGUUGGCAGGGGACGGGCCACCAUGGGACGACGGUGACGCGCAGAAUACUACGGGGGGCAGCAGCGGUGAGUAAUGCACAGUGAGCGGAAGCCGGAUGAAGCAGCGCCGCGUGCGGGAUGACGGCGGUCGGGGGGUAAACCGCUUUCGCCUGUGAAGAAGCGUGAGUGACGGUAACGGGUAAAGAAGCACCGGCUAACUACGUG